GGGUUGUGAGGUUAAGCGACUAAGCGUACACGGUGGAUGCCUAGGCAGUCAGAGGCGAUGAAGGGCGUGCUAAUCUGCGAUAAGCGUCGGUAAGCUGAUAUGAAGCGUUAUACCCGACGAUACCCGAAUGGGGAAACCCAGUGUGUUUCGACACACUAUCAUUAUGUGAAUACAUAGCGUAAUGAGGCGAACCGGGGGAACUGAAACAUCUCAGUACCCCGAGGAAAAGAAAUCAACCGAGAUUCCCCUAGUAGCGGCGAGCGAACGGGGAGGAGCCCAGAACCUGAAUCAGUUUGUGUGUUAGUGGAAGCGUCUGGAAAGUCGCACAGUAAAGGGUGAUAGUCCCGUACACAAAAAUGCACAGAUUGUGAGUUCGAUGAGUAGGGCGGGACACGUGACAUCCUGUCUGAAUAUGGGGGGACCAUCCUCCAAGGCUAAAUACUCCUGACUGACCGAUAGUGAACCAGUACCGUGAGGGAAAGGCGAAAAGAACCCCGGCGAGGGGAGUGAAAUAGAACCUGAAACCGUGUACGUACAAGCAGUGGGAGCCUUGAUUAAUCAGGGUGACUGCGUACCUUUUGUAUAAUGGGUCAGCGACUUAUAUUCUGUAGCAAGGUUAACCGUAUAGGGGAGCCGUAGGGAAACCGAGUCUUAACUGGGCGUUAAGUUGCAGGGUAUAGACCCGAAACCCGGUGAUCUAGCCAUGGGCAGGUUGAAGGUUGGGUAACACUAACUGGAGGACCGAACCGACUAAUGUUGAAAAAUUAGCGGAUGACUUGUGGCUGGGGGUGAAAGGCCAAUCAAACCGGGAGAUAGCUGGUUCUCCCCGAAAGCUAUUUAGGUAGCGCCUCGUGAAUUCAUCUUCGGGGGUAGAGCACUGUUUCGGCUAGGGGGUCAUCCCGACUUACCAACCCGAUGCAAACUACGAAUACCGAAGAAUGUUAUCACGGGAGACACACGGCGGGUGCUAACGUUCGUCGUGAAGAGGGAAACAACCCAGACCGCCAGCUAAGGUCCCAAAGUCAUGGUUAAGUGGGAAACGAUGUGGGAAGGCACAGACAGCCAGGAUGUUGGCUUAGAAGCAGCCAUCAUUUAAAGAAAGCGUAAUAGCUCACUGGUCGAGUCGGCCUGCGCGGAAGAUGUAACGGGGCUAAACCAUGCACCGAAGCUGCGGCAGCGACACUUAGGUGUUGUUGGGUAGGGGAGCGUUCUGUAAGCCGUCGAAGGUGGCCUGUGAGGGCUGCUGGAGGUAUCAGAAGUGCGAAUGCUGACAUAAGUAACGAUAAUGCGGGUGAAAAACCCGCACGCCGGAAGACCAAGGGUUCCUGUCCAACGUUAAUCGGGGCAGGGUGAGUCGACCCCUAAGGCGAGGCUGAAAAGCGUAGUCGAUGGGAAACAGGUUAAUAUUCCUGUACUCGGUGUUACUGCGAAGGGGGGACGGAGAAAGCUAGGUUAUCCGGGCGACGGUUGUCCCGGUUUAAGCGUGAAGGUGGAUGACUUUGGUAAAUCCGGGUCGUCAUUAACACUGAGGCGUGAUGACGAGUCACUACGGUGAUGAAGUAACCGAUGCUACGCUUCCAGGAAAAGCCUCUAAGCUCCAGGUAACAUCAAAUCGUACCCCAAACCGACACAGGUGGUCAGGUAGAGAAUACUCAGGCGCUUGAGAGAACUCGGGUGAAGGAACUAGGCAAAAUGGUGCCGUAACUUCGGGAGAAGGCACGCUGAUGGUAGGUGAAGUGACUUGCUCACGGAGCUGAAAUCAGUCGAAGAUACCAGCUGGCUGCAACUGUUUAAUAAAAACACAGCACUGUGCAAACACGAAAGUGGACGUAUACGGUGUGACGCCUGCCCGGUGCCGGAAGGUUAAUUGAUGGGGUCAGCCGCAAGGCGAAGCUCUUGAUCGAAGCCCCGGUAAACGGCGGCCGUAACUAUAACGGUCCUAAGGUAGCGAAAUUCCUUGUCGGGUAAGUUCCGACCUGCACGAAUGGCGUAAUGAUGGCCAGGCUGUCUCCACCCGAGACUCAGUGAAAUUGAACUCGCUGUGAAGAUGCAGUGUACCCGCGGCAAGACGGAAAGACCCCGUGAACCUUUACUAUAGCUUGACACUGAACCUUGAGCCUUGAUGUGUAGGAUAGGUGGGAGGCUUUGAAGCGUGGACGCCAGUCUGCGUGGAGCCAACCUUGAAAUACCACCCUUUAAUGUUUGAUGUUCUAACGUGGGCCCGUGAUCCGGGUUGCGGACAGUGUCUGGUGGGUAGUUUGACUGGGGCGGUCUCCUCCCAAAGCGUAACGGAGGAGCACGAAGGUUAGCUAAUCCUGGUCGGACAUCAGGAGGUUAGUGCAAAGGCAUAAGCUAGCUUGACUGCGAGAGUGACAGCUCGAGCAGGUGCGAAAGCAGGUCUUAGUGAUCCGGUGGUUCUGAAUGGAAGGGCCAUCGCUCAACGGAUAAAAGGUACUCCGGGGAUAACAGGCUGAUACCGCCCAAGAGUUCAUAUCGACGGCGGUGUUUGGCACCUCGAUGUCGGCUCAUCACAUCCUGGGGCUGAAGUAGGUCCCAAGGGUAUGGCUGUUCGCCAUUUAAAGUGGUACGCGAGCUGGGUUUAGAACGUCGUGAGACAGUUCGGUCCCUAUCUGCCGUGGGCGUUGGAAGAUUGAGAGGGGUUGCUCCUAGUACGAGAGGACCGGAGUGAACGCACCACUGGUGUUCGGGUUGUGAUGCCAAUUGCAUUGCCCGGUAGCUAAGUGCGGAAGAGAUAACCGCUGAAAGCAUCUAAGCGGGAAACUUGCCUCGAGAUGAGUCUUCCCUGGGCACUAGAUGCCCCUGAAGGGCCGUUGAAGACGACGACGUAGAUAGGCUGGGUGUGUAAGCGUAGCGAUACGUUGAGCUAACCAGUACUAAUGACCCGAGAGGCUUAACCUUACAACACCGAAGGUGUUU
rnacentral:rRNA from 1 species